UACGUAGGUGGCAAGCGUUGUCCGGAUUUACUGGGCGUAAAGAGCGCGCAGGCGGUCGUUCAAGUCGCGUGUGAAAGCCCCCGGCUCAACUGGGGAGGGUCACGCGAUACUGAUCGACUGGAAGGCAGGAGAGGGAAGCGGAAUUCCCGGUGUAGUGGUGAAAUGCGUAGAUAUCGGGAGGAACACCAGUGGCGAAGGCGGCUUCCUGGCCUGUUCUUGACGCUGAGGCGCGAAAGCUAGGGGAGCAAACGGG
rnacentral:rRNA from 1 species